rnacentral:lncRNA from 1 species
CCUCUAUUUUUGUGCCUAUAGUAGGACAUCAAUUGCUUAUCCGAGCUAAAAAUAUAUCAAUAUCAGGUUACCUGCCCGAGCUAAACCUUUAAAUUGACAUCACGUUACUCAUCAUUGCUAAACCUAUGUCACAAAUAUCUUCGAUAUACCAAAUGCUCGUCUGACCUGAACAUAUAUUCAUGUUGGAUUACCCGUCCAAACUAAACCUUUAUUGACACAUUUAAUUGCUUGAUGAAGUUGAAAACAUACAUGUAAGGUUACCCGUUUGGGCUAAACCUUUAAAACGACAUCAGGUUACUCGUCCGAGCUAAACUUGUGUCACUUGUAUCUUCGAGCCCACAAAAAAAGUUGGAUAUCGGUAAUCAUCAGUAAUCAAUCCAUAUCCAUUUGUACAAGAUAUUUACUAAGAUCAUUAGAUAAAUUUCAACAUAUAUUUUCACAUUCAUUUAUUUACAAUCUAGUCCAAUUUCACCUUUUGUACCAAAUCUUAAACAAUUCAAAUUCAACUAAACAUAUGUAUAUUCACACAAUUUUAAAUGCAUAAAAAUUUAAACACAGUACACCAUAUGAACUUACAUGAUUAAAUCAAUAGACAAGUUGAAUUACAAGGACUAAUCAAUAAUUUUACCUUUUUCUUGGUUAUCAUCGGUUUGGUUUACAUCCCAAUCUAAACAAUAAUUCAAUUCAAUUUAUCAAUUCCACACAACUUAUAUAAUUCUAUUAUAAUCAUAUAUGAAUUUAAUUUUAUUAUUUGAAUGCCUUUAAAGUUUUGCAUUUUAUUCAAUUUAGUCCAUAAAAUCGAAAUUGUCAUAUCUUUCAAAUUUCAGCUUCCAUUUCAAAAUCGAUCUUAAUUACAUUAUUUUAAGGCCCUCUAUUAUUCAUAAUUACAAAAAUUCCAUACCAAUUCCCUAUGCUCAAAACAAAUAAUUUUCACUUUACAAAUUAGUCAUUUUUCAUAUAUAUGCUUAAAAUUUAACCAUUUAAGACCAAUUUCAUCAAGAACUUAUCAAUGGAAACUUUUAGAAACUUUAAUAGUUUUGCAAAUUGGUACAUGGGCUAGCUAAAUCAAGCUCUCACGACCCGAAAACAUAAAAAUUACAAGAAAAAGACUAAAUUGAACUUACCAAAUUGAAGCUGAAAGUUUAAAAGCUUUGAACCCUAAAUUUAUUUUCUUUGCUUCGUGAAAUGAAGAAGAUGACAAGAAAAUGUUUUUCUUUUCUUUUAUUUUAACUUAUAUACUUUAAUUAGUAAUUAAUGAAUUUUAAUUAAAUUAAUUAAACUUAAUUAAUUAAAACUAAACAUAAUUAACAACAUUGGUGGACUACAAUUUUCAUCCACCACCGUUUGUCUUAAUAAAAAGGGUCCAAUUGCUCAUUUGGUCUUUCAGUUAAUUAAAAAUCUAUAUUGAUUAACUUUUACCACUUUUACAAUUUAAUCAUUGUACCUUAAUUAAGUAUCCAUUUGACAAAAGUAAAGGACCAAAUUUCAAUUAAACUUUAUACUAGCCUCCGAUUAUUGAAAAUGGGGUUCUAAACCUCUCAUUUUCGACACCACUGAAAAAUGGGUUGUUACACUAUAAGAAAGAGAUCUACUUUCCUACUGAUAGUCAAGAAAAUAUUUCUGGUUCUGUGUUUGAUUUAAAUUUGUUUGAGCCUACACUCGAAGUAGUUUGUGGUACAAAAAUAGCAGAAAAGGUCGUUCGGUUGAAAGUCGAGAACGACAAGGAUCCAUCUUGUUCAAAGCACAAGUAUAUUUCGAGUAAAGUUUAUUGCUAUAAAUAUCACAAAUCGACUUGAUUUUCGAAAUUUUAUUUUUCUGCUAUGAAAGAAAAUCGUUUUCAAACUGAAUUUUUUCCUACAAGGAAAACUACUAAUUUAUGUUAUGACUAUUUUUAUAACUUUUUUAUUCUUUUUGUUUUCUAUUAUUUAUAAAAUAAUUGUCAUGAAAUAUACUAAGUUCUGUGACGCUUUUGUAACAGUAGUUACCUUUGUUUGAAAAAAAUAAAGGUAACCAAAAAAGUAUCAUUUCAUGGGGAAAAAUACCAUAAAAAGCCCUUUUUUUUUAAUUUACCGAAAUUGGCCCGGUAUUUUAUUAUUUACCAGAAUGGCCCUUUUUUCCCAAAACCGCGUCCAUGUUAGCGCGAUGUUAGGGGACAUGGCAGAAAAUCGCAUCCCUGAGGUUGCGCUUCACUUAUGUGGAGGGAAAUCGCUCCCUCAAAGGCGCGAUUUGUUGCCACGUAAGCGCUCCCUUGGGGACGCGUUUUGCCCGUGCGUGAACAGUAGCAACGGCUACUUUUUUUACCGUUGGUAACCCCCCAACGGUCAAAAAAAACUAUAAAACCCCCCCACCUUCAUUUUUUUUCACAACUAAAUCCUUUCUCUCAAUUUCUCUCUAAUAUUCUUUCAAAUUCCUUUCAAAUUCCUCUCAAAUUUCUAUUUAAAAUAGCUUCAAAUUUUUAAUUAUUUUUAAAAUAGUUUUAAAUUUUAUUUUUUUGAAUUUUUUUAAAUCGUAAAAAUUUGUACUAAUUUAGCAUUGGCCGGGGAAUUGAUUCAUCUUGAUGACAAGCAUAUAUCCGUGGAACAAAUGAAAAUGGUAAGUGUUAAAUUUAGUUUUUAAAUAUUAUUUAAGAUUUUUUUAUUUAUGCAAUUUUAAAUAAUUAUUAUUUUAUUAUUUGUUAUAAAAGUUUGUAGAUCGGAUAUUGCAAUGUUAUGUCCGCAAUAUGCAUGGUCCUCCAUCACCGUUGGUAGAGAAUUACCUGCGAGAGUCGGGUUUUUGACACGUGGGGAUGGUAGGCCGGGGAUGCAAGUUGGACCCGAAACUCAUCAGUACAUUGAUUGAAAGGUGGAGACCCGAGACACAUACAUUCCAUCUUCCAUGUGGAGAGUGCGCUAUCACUUUGGAAGAUGUUAAUUUGCAAUUGGGGUUGCCAGUGGACGGGUACGCAAUCACUGGGUCUGUUCAAUCUGGUGAUUGGGGAGAGGUAUGCUACGAGCUGUUGGGCGCUAUUCUAGAGAAUAUUAACGGAGGUCGAAUCGAGAUAGCUGGUUACGAGACACAUUCUCGGAUUCGAAUGAUGAUUCAACCGAAAUAGAAAGAAUCCGAUGGCAUACAUUUUUCAGAUAAUUAGAGGUUAUCUGAUGUCAGGCUUGUCACGGAACCUCGUGCAUCUAAGAUGGAUACUGAAACUCAUUGAUUUUUGAGCAGCUGGUGAAUUUAGCUGGGGGUCUGCCGUGUUGGCAACAUUGUACCGGGAGAUGUGCAGGGUGAUGCGACCGAAUAAAGCAAAAAUCAGAGGUUGCUUGUCACUAAUGUAGUCAUGGGCAUGGUUUUCCUUUCCAUUUUUACAUUUUCAAGUGGACCAGCCGUAUACAUUCCCAGUUAUAACGAAGUAAAUUUAAUAUCAGAUUUUACAAUUAUUACGUAUAUUUAAAAUAUAAUCGAAUGCUAAAAAUUUAUUUAAUUAGGUGGAACCAUCCGGAAAAUUAUGCUCGAUUACCUACCUCUCUUGAAGAUAUAUGGCUUCUAUUGGACCAACGAUCGGAAGCACAAGUAAGUAUUAAAUAAAAGAGAUAUUUCCAUAAUGAGAUAGUCGAUUGGUAUUUAGUAUUUAGUACAUAACUAAUAUUUCCAUCAUGGUCAUAUAGUUUGAAUGGACACCAUACGAGGAUCCAGCAAUUCGGGCAGUAAUUCCGGAUGAGUUCUUCCAAAAUCGAAACACUUGGCAUGUGAAGGUCCCAUUGGUCAACUUUGCGACUGUGGAGAUGCACCAGUCGGACAGAGUAUUACGGUAAUUUAAAUUCCGACAACUGAUUUCCGUGGCACCUGAGGUAUUGGAUGAUCAUCACAAAAUCGACCUACGGCAAUUGCAUACGGAUUGGCAGAGAUUCUGGUCACACUACAUCCAAAUGUGGAUAGAUCGGUAUGACUAUAUACCUACUCGGGAACCGAUCAUCAUUCCAGAGUUAGCGUGCGUGCCGGAAUACAUGCCAUGGUUUAGGAUCCAUGGGAAGCUAUAUUUACUCUCGCCAGAGGAGAGGCAGCGGCAAUUGCGUGUCCAAAGAGAACGAUAUGGCCCUUUAAAUCCAGGAAGAAGGGACGACAAUGCAGGCCCAUCAACGAGGCCCAGAAAUUCACUUGACCCACCAUCAGCGCCCAUAACUUUAUCAGGCCCAGCAACAGCACCGACAAAGUCACCCAACCCAGCAGUUCAACCGAUGAUACCUACGACACAACCUUUUAAGAUGAUGCCAGGUGCGUAUCCUAGCCCUUUUAUGUAUCCUAACCCUUAUAUGUUUCCUUUUUCUAGUCUCAUGGAAGGUUGGAGUCAAUGGCCUGGUUCAUCUCCAUUUUCGAUUACGCCGAGUAGACCGUUGAUGUAUAGGCCAUCGUUGCAGGAGGGAUCGCAAGAGGGGCCGCCGGGGAGCUCUUCUUUUUACGAAACCCCAUCACCGUAUGGGUUUCAAACAUCUUCGCCGUUGGUGAUGCAAACACCUCCACAUUCACUAUUCUAUCAAGGUGGCUCAUCGUCCCAACACCGACAACCAGAUCCCCUACCGGUUGAACCAGAAUCCCCUCCGGAGCAACCACAACCUCCGCCGGAAGUUGGACAAUGAAGGAAUCCAGUGCGUAACCGUCGACGACCGCCAUGUGGCACUGAAUCCGGCGAGCACGGAGAUUAAUUUUUAUUUUAAUAUAUUUGUACAAAAUAGUUUAUAUUAAUGUAAUAAAAUACAAAAUAGUUUAUUUUGAAUAUUUUGAUAUUAUUUGAUGUAAUAAAAUACAAAAUAGUUUAUUUUGAAUAAUUUGAUAUUAUUUGAUGUAAUAAAAUACAAAAUAGUUCAUUUUUAAUAUUUUGAUAUUAUUUCAUUUAAUAAAAUACAAAAUAGUUAAUAUUCUUAAUAAUAGAAAUUCUUUUAAAUAAGGCAAUAUGUUGAACACUUGGCAUAUUAUUUCAUUUAAUAAAAUAAAAAAUAGUUUUGAAUAAAGUGAUUGUAAUUUACUUUAAUAUUUUUAAUGAAAUAGAUUUAAAAUAAAAUAAGUAAAUAUUUUGAAUAUUUGUACCAAUUUUUUAUUUCAAAAAAAUAUAAAUAAUACAAAGUUGUUUACAAUGACGUUCAACUAUUGCGAUUUGGGCAUGAUCAGCUUGUAUGACCUGGGUUCCUACACCAUCCGCACAACUUCUGUUGACUGGCUAUUUCUCGGAUAUCCAUAUUAUUACGUAUUCUAGUCGAGCAAGGUCGACCUUUUGGUUUGAGACGCAUUCUCUAUCCGGUAACUUAAAAGGAGCAAGCCAUACGGGCGGCCACUUACGUUCAUCUGGGACCGGUGGGCAAACGUGUCUCUAGACGUUAUACAUGUUUUCUAAUUUGUACACUUCAUCGACAUAGCUCAUCAGAUCCAGACGGAGAUUCUGACAAGCUGAAACUACAUGAGCACAUGGACAACGAAGUGCAUCAAACAUCCCACAGUCGCAAGCCCUAUUUCGCAAGUGUACACGAUCUUGCCCACCAAUAACACCUUGGUGCGGUCUGUCAAACUCUGUCACGCGAAACCAUAAGUUGUCUCGAUCGUGACACACUGUGUGCAUGGUGUUCGCCCGCGCCUUGACCUUGUUAAUUUCUUGCACUACCUUACUGCACCAUACAUGGCCUCCUUGCAUCUGGCCUGCAUAACUCACUGCUCGCUUUGGAAAUAGCGCUGCCAAAUGAAAAUAUGUCUCUCGCACAACCGAUGUUAUCGAUAGAUAGCAUGUUCCUUUUAGAACAGAAUUUAUGCAUUCAGACAGGUUUGAGGUCAUAUGACCAUAUCGUAGGCUACCAUCAUAUGCUUGUGCCCACUGUUCGAAACGUAUGUUACAAAGGUAGUCUGCGCCUUCGCCGUUAAUUGAACGCAAAACUGCCAACAUCUCGUGAAAACAAUCUUUAUUUAUUUCAUUCCCUGCCAAUAUAAGUUCAUAGCGAAUAUUACAUACCACUUUUUCAUUUACAAUAAAUUCAAAAUGACAAAUGAAAUAACACAGAUGGAGACUAAAUACCUAUGUUGGUCACUUGUCGUUGUUUGCUCUUACACUACACCAAAACAGCCUUUUAGCGGCAUUUUUAGUGGCAUUUGGACAAAAACACCGCUAAAAAUUGAGCAUUAGCGGCGCUUUACAUAAAACGCCGCUAAAGAUCGAGCAUUAGCGGUGCUUCCAGGAAUGCGCUGCCAAAAAUGAGCAUUAGCGGCGUUUCUUGGAAAAACGCCACAAAAAACCUAAGCCCAAUGACAUCGUUUUUUGACCUUUCGGGGCAUUAGCGGCGUUUUUGAAAAAGUGCCGCUAUUGCUCAUGCUUUUAGCGGCGUUUUUAAAGAAGCGCCGCUAAUGCUCUGGCUUUUAGCGGCGUUUUUGAAAAAGCGCCGCAAAAAUAUUGAAAAAUGAAAAAAUUAAAAUACUAUUAUUUAAAAUAAUUUUAAAUUUUUUUGGGUGCAUGACUGAUUGAUUUUUAAUUUAUAUAUUAAAUAAUUUCAUAUAUAAUUGUAAAAGAUACGAUAGUAUAAAUUUUAAAAUAUUUAAUUAAUUAUUAUUAUAGUUUAGGGUUUAAUAUAUAUGGUUUAGGGUAUAUGGUUAAUUUAGGAUUUAAGGCUAGUUUAGAAGUUACAAUUUUAAGGUUUAUAGAUUAUGGAAUUAGGGAUUAUGGAAUAGGGAUUUUGGUUUAAGGGUUGUGAUUUAAGGGUUAGGGGUUAGGAAUUUGGGUUAGGGUUUAGGUUUUAGAUUAAUUAGUAUUUUUUAAUUUAUAUAUUAAAUAAGGUUUAGGGGUUAGUAGUUAGGGGUUAGGGGUUAGAGGUUAAGAGUUAGUGAUUUAAGGUUUAGAGAUUUGAGGUCGAGUUAGGGUUUAAGGUUUAGAUUAAUUAGUAUUUUUUUAAUUUAUAUAUUAAUUAAGUUCUUAUAUAAUUGUAAAAUAGGGGUUAGGGGUUAGAGGUUAAGGGUUUAGGGUUUAUGUUUUAUGAUUUAGGGUUUAAGAGAUAGGGGUGUAGGGCUUAGAUUCAUUGGUGUUUUUUAAAUUAUAUAUUAAAUAAUUUCUUAUAUAAUUGUAAAAGAGAUAAUUUUAAUUUUAAUUUAUUAAAAGUAUGAUUAUAGUUUAAAUUAUUUAAGAGAUAAUAGAUCAAUUUUAUAUAUAUUAAAUGGUUUAGGAUUUAAUGUUUACUUUAGAUUUAUUAAAUGAUGAAAAUUUAUACAAUUAAUUAAUGUUUUUAUAUUUAAAAAUAAGCAUUAGCGGCGCUUUUCAGAAAACGCCGCUAAAAAUGAGCAUUAGUGGCGUUUUUAGAAAAGCGCAUCAAAAAACCUAAGCCCAACGACGUCGUUUUCUGAGUUUUUGAGGCUUUAGCGGCGUUUUUCAAAAGGGCCACAAAUACUCUAUUUUUAGUGGCGUUUUUGAGAAAGCGCCUCUAAUGCUAAUAUUUAUUCUAAACCAUUUGAUAUAUAAUUUUUUAUGGUGUUUUUAUGAAAAAGGCCACAAAAGAUAAGCAAUACAGGCAUUUUUUGUAAAAACGCCACAAAAUUCAUUUUGCCUAAAAAAAUUUAGCGCUGCUUUUUUCCCCAAAUUUCCCCCUAAAACCCAAAAACUAAAAAAUCCCAAAUUCGCGCUGAUUUGUUCACAAAAUCCCAAACGAAAAAAUUUGGAGUAGCAGAACGACGCGCUGCUAUUCCUCCCUCUCGAUUCGAUUGUUAGCUUCUCCCACUCUAUUUUCACAGCGGAGGCACUGUUCUCAGCUCGUUAAAUCUAAUGGAAAGCGAUUGUUUCUCAUUGACACUUUAGCUUUGGUAAAUUACAAUGAUUCCUUCUUUUGUUUUAGAAACUGUAUUUUUGUUUGAUUUUUGGAAUCUUGAAAAUAUCUGAAGACAUGGUGCAUUAUACUUAUAGGUUAGGAGAUUAGAGGCGGAAGGUCUGCCUUCGAAGCAAGCCGAGGCAAUAACAGCAACCAUGACUGAAGUUUUGAAUGACAGCUUAGAAAAUGUGUCUCUUUCAGUUGUUUCCAAUACUACUUGCUCAAUUCCUUCCCUUCUAUUUCAAUGAAAAAGAAUUCAACCAUGGUUUACCAUCCUAUUUAUUUAGAAAAAAAAAAUAGAGAGGAAAUCAGGUAUAUUUAAUUGUUUAAUUUGGGUUACAAACUUUAUAUGUUUUUUAUAUGUUUAUCUCACAAAUUUUCUUUUAUCUGUUUUUUACAUGUUUAUCUCACAAAGUUUGGUUUAUCAAUUGUUUUACCUUCACUUUUUUAAUGUGUUUCAUGUGUUUAUCGGCUAAUUUUGCUUCUAUUUAUUAUUAUUUCCACUGAGAACAAAACUUGAGGGAUUCAUUUAUUAUUAUUAUUUGAUUCAUUGCACUGUGAUCUUUGGAUGGAAAACAAGUUUAAUCAGGGUGGCUUGGUGGUAAGGUUUAAUGGUUGCUCAGGAGAUUGAAUUAUUUAUGAUUAAUUCAUAUUUUUUUUACCAGACAUCGUAGCGGGUUGUAUGGUAAAUAUGGAACUGUUGGUUUUCUUUUGGUACAUAUCUAUCGUUAUUUAAUAAAAAUGAUGAAAUUCAAUUCUUGUUUUGUUCUUCCCAAACUUUUAUCAUUUUCUUUUGUAAUUGUUAUAGUAUUUAAUUUCAGGGUUAGUUUGUUUUAAUCAUGUUUUCUUGUUUAGGGUCAUUUGAAUGGUUGGAUGAAUGUUAAAUCUCUCUUAGAUGUGUCAUUUUAGGGCUUCUUUUUUUUUAGCACAGGGAUUUGUUUUCAUAAUGAUGGUUGUACUUAUGUGUACAGUCUGUUCAAGAAUGAAAGUGGUGUGGAAUUAUGCAGGCACAUAUACCUCCUCCCCCUGGCUACUUUGUGCAACUAGAAAAUCCCAACGGUCUGUUUUUGAAGAAAAGAAUGAGGAUGCGUCGGUGGCUUUGCUGUUCGUGUCAGGUCAAGGAGAAUUACCAAUCGCGUGAAAACGAACAUUUGAAGUGUAAUUCAGAUGGUAUAUGUUACUUUGACCUGAACUUUUUCUUUGUAUUUCUGAUUUACUGUUUGGAAUCUCUUGUAAAGUGUGAAUUGUGCAGUUACCUAGCAUGGUCGGAAUCAGACCAUCUUAAUAGUUUAUAUUUUUAUAAUUUUUUAAUAGAUUGAAUCAAAAUUUUAUCAUUUUUUAGAGCCAAAGUACAAAUUUAUCAUUAUUAAUUUAAAAUUUUAUAAAUUAUAACAGGGUUAAAUGUGAUAGCCCGAAAUAGGGCCUAAUCGGAAUAGUGGUUUCGUAACCACAAAUCCGAAGUGAAAUAGUUUAAUUUUAUAAAUUUUUAUUAGUUACUGAUUGAUUGAAAUAUUGUGUGAAAAUAUGGAUAGGAAAUUUUAAUACUUUAGUGCUUAAUUGAAUUUUUAGGACUAAAUCGAGAAAAAUGCAAAGUGUGUCUAAUUAGUGAUUAAAUGACUUAAUUGAAUUAUUGCAUGAAAUUGGAAGUGUUUAUGUGGCAAUUAAACCAUGAAUUAGUGUUGUGGACACAAAAGGGUAUUUCUAGAAAAAUAUCUAAGUAAUGGGUCAAGGGCAUUUUUGUCCAAAUUGAAUAAAAGACAAAAUAAAGAUGAAAACAAGUGUUCAUCUUCUUAAAAUCAGACGUUUGCUGCCAAAAAAAUUCAUGUCACCAUAGCUAGGGUUCUUGAACUUCCUAAGCUCAAUUGUAAGUGAUUUCUUGCCCCGUUUUUGAUUAUUUUCGUAUUUUUAUGCUUAUUGAAGCUUGAAUUUCAUGUUUCUACUAUUUAAUUUAAAUGAAAUUAAAGUUUGAAAAUUUACCCAUUCAUGAUAUAAUUGUAAAUUGAUUAGUGAUGUUAGAUAAUGAAUGUUUGAAGUGUUAAUUACAAGUUUUACUAGAUGAAUUUUGAUGAAAAUGUUGAAAAAGGGCUAAAUUGUGAAAGAUGGUAAAGUGUGCAUAAAGUUGUGAUUUUGUGAAAUUGAGGGCUGUUAUGAGCAUGAAAUAUGAUUUAGUGAAGUUUGAAAUUUAAAAAUUUAGUGAAUUUUAUUUUUACGAGCUUAGGGACAAAAGUGGAAUUUUUGAAAAGUUUCGGGGAAAAAUAUAAAUUUGCCAAAAUGUUGUGUAUGAAUUGUAUUUGAAUGAAAUGUUGAUAAAAUGUAUUAAAUUGUGUUAAUAUAGACAAAAGAGAACUAGUGGUAAAGGUGUAACAAAAGACACGACUGUAAGAUCUGAAGUGGGAGCCCCAGCAAGAGCUUAUGCCAUCCGAGCUAGAGAGGAAACAUCUUCCCCCGAUGUGAUCACUGGUAUAUUUUCUCUUUACGACACUAAUGUUCUUGCAUUGAUUGAUCCUGGUUCUACUCACUCGUAUGUAUGUAGGAAUUUAGUGUCUGAUAAAAAUUUGUGUGUUGAAUUGACUGAGUAUGUGAUUAAAGUGUCGAAUCCUUUAGGCAAGCAUGUGAUAGUUGAUAAAAUAUGCAAAAAUUGUCCUUUGAUGAUACAAGGUCAGUGUUUCCCUGCCAACUUGAUGUUGUUGCCAUUUGAUGAAUUUGAUGUUAUUUUGGGAAUGGAUUGGUUGACAUUACAUAAGGCCAAGAUAGAUUGCAGUCAGAAAAUUCUUGAGUUGAAGUGUGGUAGUGGUACAGUUCUUCGGGUUGAAACAGAUAAGUCAAAUGUGAUGCCAAUUGUGAUUUCUGCCAUGUCUGCUCAGAAAUGUUUGAAAAAUGGUUGUGAAGCAUAUCUUGCUUAUGUGUUGAAUACAAAAGUGUCUGAAACAAAGAUCGAAUCAGUGCCAGUGGUAUGUGAAUAUUUAGAUGUGUUCCCAGAAGAGUUGCCAGGUUUGCCUCCGAUUAGAGAAGUAGAGUUUGGUAUUGAAGUAAUGCCAGGUACUGCUCCAAUAUCGAUUGCUCCUUACAGAAUGGCACCAACUGAAUUAAAAGAAUUAAAAGUGCAAUUGCAAGAGUUGACGGAUAAAGGAUUCGUCAGACCAAGUUAUUCUCCGUGGGGUGCUCCCGUGCUAUUUGUGAAGAAAAAGGAUGGGACAUUGAGAUUGUGUAUUGAUUAUCGUCAACUUAAUAAAGUGACAGUAAAGAAUAAAUAUCCAUUGCCCCGAAUAGAUGACUUGUUUGAUCAGUUAAAGGAUGCCACAGUGUUUUCCAAAAUUGAUUUGAGAUCCGGAUAUUACCAAUUGAGGGUUAAAGAGUCAGAUGUGCCAAAGACUGCUUUCAGAACCCGGUAUGGUCACUAUGAGUUUCUUGUAAUGCCUUUUGGUCUGACUAAUGCUCCAGCUAUUUUUAUGGAUUUGAUGAAUCGAAUUUUCCGGCCCUAUUUGGAUAAAUUUGUUGUGGUGUUUAUAGAUGAUAUUCUUAUUUAUUCCCGAAGUGAAGUCGAGCAUGCUGAACAUUUAAGAAUUGUGCUACAAACGCUGCGAGAAAAGAAAUUGUUUGCUAAAUUUAGCAAAAGUGAAUUUUGGCUUAGUGAAGUUGGAUUUUUGGGACAUGUUGUCUCGGGAGAUGGCAUUCGAGUGGAUCCGAAUAAGAUAUCGGCAAUAGUUGAAUGGAAGCCUCCAAGAAAUGUAUCUGAAGUUAGGAGUUUUCUGGGCUUAGCCGGAUAUUAUCGUCGAUUUGUAGAAGGUUUUUCGAUGAUAGCUUCACCGAUGACAAAAUUGUUGCAAAAAGAUGUUAAGUUCGAAUGGACCGAGGAGUGUCAACAAAGUUUUGAGAAAUUAAAGAAGUGUUUAACUGAGGCACCAGUGUUAGUGCAACCUGAGUCAGGAAAGGAAUUUGUUGUUUAUAGUGACGCGUCAUUAAAUGGGCUUGGAUGUGUAUUGAUGCAAGAAGGAAAAGUGAUAGCGUAUGCUUCUCGACAAUUGAAACCGCAUGAACGAAAUUAUCCUACCCAUGAUUUAGAGUUGGCUGCUAUUGUCUUUGCUUUGAAGAUUUGGCGUCAUUAUUUAUAUGGUGAGAAAUGUCGUGUUUUUACAGAUCAUAAAAGUUUGAAAUAUGUUAUGACACAAAAAGAUCUGAAUUUGCGGCAAAGAAGAUGGUUGGAAUUGUUGAAAGAUUAUGAACUUGUAAUAGAUUAUCAUCCGGGAAAAGCCAAUAUAGUUGCUGAUGCUUUGAGCAGAAAGUCUCUCUUUGCUUUGAGAGCUUUGAAUACGAGAUUAACAUUGACUGAAGAUGGAUCAUUGUUUGCAGAGUUAAAAGCUAGACCAUUGUUUCUUCAAGAAAUUUGUGAGGCUCAGAAAGUGGAUAAUGAAUUGCAAAGAAAAAAGACUCAGUGUGCAGUGGACGAUAAUUCUGAUUUUCGGAUUGAUUCAGAUGGAUGUUUAAUGUUUCAUGACAGAAUAUGUGUUCCGAAAAAUGUUGAUUUAAUUCAGAAAAUUUUGCAGGAAGCACAUGAUAGUCGGUUGGCAGUUCACCCCGGUAGUGUAAAAAUGUACAAUGAUUUAAAGAAAUUAUAUUGGUGGCCGGGUAUGAAACGGGAUAUCUCUGAGUAUGUGACAAAGUGUUUUGUGUGCCAACAAGUAAAAGCUGAACACCAAGUACCUUCAGGGUUACUUCAACCUAUUAUGGUGCCCGAGUGGAAGUGGGAUAGAAUUACUAUGGAUUUUGUUUCCGGAUUGCCAUUGUCACCGAAAAAGAAAGACUCAAUUUGGGUAAUAGUUGAUCGAUUGACUAAGUCAGCUCAUUUCAUUCCUGUGCGAAUGAGUUUUUCACUUGACAAGUUAGCUGAAUUGUAUAUUGCUGAGGUAGUUCGAUUACAUGGUGUGCCUGCGUCUAUUAUAUCUGAUAGAGAUCCACGGUUUACUUCAAGGUUUUGGAAGAAAUUACAAGAGGCAUUGGGUACUAAAUUGAAUUUUAGUACAGCAUUUCACCCCCAAACCGAUGGACAGUCUGAAAGAGUAAUUCAAGUGCUCGAAGAUAUGUUGAGAUGUUGUGUAUUGGAAUUUGAAGGUAAUUGGGAAAGAUAUCUACCUUUGGUGGAGUUUGCAUAUAAUAAUAGUUAUCAAUCCAGCAUAAAAAUGGCACCUUAUGAAGCGUUGUAUGGACGAAAGUGUCGGACUCCAUUAUAUUGGACUGAACUUAAUGAAAAUCAGUUACAUGGAGUCGAUUUGGUAAAAGAAACUGAAGAAAAAGUGAAGAUAAUCCGUGAUUGUUUGAAAGCUGCAUCGGAUCGACAGAAGUCGUAUGCGGAUUUGAAAAGAAAAGAGAUUGAGUUUCAAGUGGGUGAUAAAGUAUUUCUGAAAGUGUCUCCAUGGAAGAAAAUUCUGAGAUUUGGCCGUAAAGGUAAAUUAAGUCCAAGAUUUAUUGGUCCGUAUGAAGUGAUAGAAAGAAUUGGUCCAGUGGCUUAUCGAUUGUCUUUACCACCGGAAUUGGAAAGAAUUCAUAAUGUGUUUCAUGUUUCUAUGUUGAGGCGAUAUCGAUCGGACCCAUCACAUGUGAUUUCACCGACUGAAGUGGAAAUUCGAUCGGAUAUGACAUACGAAGAAGAACCGAUUCGAAUCUUGGCACGAGAAGUGAAACAGUUGAGAAACAAAGAAAUUGCUUUAGUGAAAGUGUUAUGGCAACGACAUGGGGUGGAAGAGGCAACAUGGGAAACUGAGGAGGCUAUGAGGAAACAGUAUCCCAACUUAUUCACUGGUAAGAUUUUCGGGGACGAAAAUCCCUAAGGGGGAGAAUUGUGAUAGCCCGAAAUAGGGCCUAAUCGGAAUAGUGGUUUCGUAACCACAAAUCCGAAGUGAAAUAGUUUAAUUUUAUAAAUUUUUAUUAGUUACUGAUUGAUUGAAAUAUUGUGUGAAAAUAUGGAUAGGAAAUUUUAAUACUUUAGUGCUUAAUUGAAUUUUUAGGACUAAAUCGAGAAAAAUGCAAAGUGUGUCUAAUUAGUGAUUAAAUGACUUAAUUGAAUUAUUGCAUGAAAUUGGAAGUGUUUAUGUGGCAAUUAAACCAUGAAUUAGUGUUGUGGACACAAAAGGGUAUUUCUAGAAAAAUAUCUAAGUAAUGGGUCAAGGGCAUUUUUGUCCAAAUUGAAUAAAAGACAAAAUAAAGAUGAAAACAAGUGUUCAUCUUCUUAAAAUCAGACGUUUGCUGCCAAAAAAUUUCAUGUCACCAUAGCUAGGGUUCUUGAACUUCCUAAGCUCAAUUGUAAGUGAUUUCUUGCCCCGUUUUUGAUUAUUUUCGUAUUUUUAUGCUUAUUGAAGCUUGAAUUUCAUGUUUCUACUAUUUAAUUUAAAUGAAAUUAAAGUUUGAAAAUUUACCCAUUCAUGAUAUAAUUGUAAAUUGAUUAGUGAUGUUAGAUAAUGAAUGUUUGAAGUGUUAAUUACAAGUUUUACUAGAUGAAUUUUGAUGAAAAUGUUGAAAAAGGGCUAAAUUGUGAAAGAUGGUAAAGUGUGCAUAAAGUUGUGAUUUUGUGAAAUUGAGGGCUGUUAUGAGCAUGAAAUAUGAUUUAGUGAAGUUUGAAAUUUAAAAAUUUAGUGAAUUUUAUUUUUACGAGCUUAGGGACAAAAGUGGAAUUUUUGAAAAGUUUCGGGGAAAAAUAUAAAUUUGCCAAAAUGUUGUGUAUGAAUUGUAUUUGAAUGAAAUGUUGAUAAAAUGUAUUAAAUUGUGUUAAUAUAGAUCAAGAAAGAAGAAAUAGUGGAAGUGAUCGGGGAAAAGAGAAAGUUAUCGACUAAAUUACAAAAAAAUAGUCGUUUUGCAUCCGAGGUAAGUUAUAUGUAAAUAAUAGUUAUAUUUGUAUAAAUUGUGAAUUAUAUUUGAUAUGUGAAUUAAUAUUGAAUGUGGAAGGAAAAUUGUUCAUGAAUUAUUCAAGUAAUAAAGUGUUAAGUGUAAAUUCCCGGUUGAACUUAGGAAUAGAAUUGGAUACAAGUGACAUGUCACUAGAGACCAGUGUUACAGUGUUACAGUGUUACAGUGAGUCCCGGGUGUUGGGUGAUCUAGCAUGUGUUGCAGACACCUGACAGCUUGUGUGAGCAGGCCCGUGGACAUUUCCAGUGUUAUUGAUCAGUGGUAGCUUCGGCUACAUUUCAGUGGUAGCUUCGGCUACAUAUCAGUGGUAGCUUCGGCUACAUAUCAGUGUGGCACUUAUGUGCUAAAUCUCUACGUAUCCGUGUAUAUUCCAACUGUUCAACGGGAUUAAUAAUGAAUUAAAGUGAAUAUGAAAUGUUAAGUGUGAAAAUGUAUAUGCAAGUGAAUUGGUAAGAUUGUGCAUGUGUAAGUGAUUGAAAUUGCUAAGAAAUGUUUUGAUUAGUUAUAUGUUAAAAGUGUUAAUUAUUAAAUGAGUAAUUAUUGUUUACAUGUAACUUACUAAGCUAUUUAUAGCUUACACAUCUCUUUCUUUCCUUUGUUUUAUAGUGAUUUGAACUUGAUCGAAUAGUGGACCGUCGGAGCUCGUAUCACACUAUCAUAGCCAUCUCGGUAUUAUGUGCUUUUCAAAAUGUUUGAACUAUGGCAUGUAUAGAGUCUUAAUCAUCUUGAGCAUGUUCAAAUGAUAUGGCUAAGAUUAGCUAUUGAAAUGGUUAGUAAAGAUUAUGUUUUGGUAUUAUGUAUGUGUAAAUGGUAACUAAUUCAAAGAAGCAGUUUCUUUGACAGCAGCAGUGACGUGAAUGUAAAAAUUCACCAUAAAUAGUAGAAAUGGAAUUAGAGAGUGAAUUAUAUAUGGAAUUAAAUCUUAUCAAGUCUAUUUUUAUAUGAAAGAAACGAUGUAGGAAAAGGAAUUCUGUAUUUUGAGAUAUUUGAAUUUUAGUAAGAUAGGGUCAGAAUGGUUUUUGAAGUCCCCUGUUCUGACUUUGAAAAAUCAUUAUAAAUUGUACAGAAAGAAUUAUGGGUCAUAAUUUAUAUGUGUAGAUUUCUUAGUGAGUCUAUUUUCAAAAGAAAAAAACGAUAACCUUAUAUGUAUUCUGUACAAAGAGAUAAUUGAUUUUUAGUGCCGAGAGGUCAGAUCUGUCGAGCUGUGAAACAGGGGAUACUUUAAUGAAUAAACUGUACUAAUUGGCCAAGUCAAAAAUUCUGAAAAUUUUAUGGUAAGUAGUAAUAUGAGUCUAGUUUCAGGGAAAAUUUACGGAUUUAAAUUUUGAGUUCUGUAACUCGAGUUAUAAUUAAAUUAGUGAAAGUCACGCAGGUAGACAGUUUUGUUGUGAACAGUGAAUUUAAUUUUAAAAGCAAUUUUUUUUUUUAUGCUCCGAAUUGGUAAGUUAAAUUGGAUAACAUCUCGUACUCGAUUCCGGCGACGGUCUCGGGUAAGGGGUGUUACAUUAAAAAGAAAAUUUUUCAUUUAGGGGGAGGGCCUAGUGUGAUUUUCUUGCAAAUAUAGAUGUUAAUAUUCUUGUUAGACACAUUUGUGGACAUAGGUAUGGAGAUAUUACCCUUCGAAUGCAUAUCCCUAUAAGAUAAAUGAAAAUGACAUCCGGGUUUGAGUAACAUAGGACUUGACUCUUUUUUUUUUAAAACGAAAAAGAAAAAAUGUAAACAUAAAGUUUACUUUAGUGAAUGCAACUCAGGCAUAUUAUAUAUUUGUUAGCAUUGGUCAUCUCCUAAUUCUUUUACUUUGCAUAGGAAGUCUUAAUAUUAAUUUCUAUAUAUGGAUUUUACUUGAUAAUAUAUGAAGAUUAUUUUUAAGAUGUUUGACAUGUAUUGUCUUAUAUUCCAAUCUGGCAUUUUGAAAUAUGAAUUUCUCUGUCAAAGGUUCUUUAUAAAGAUAUUUUCUUAUUACGGUUUAAUUUGUUUUUUCUUGUUAGCAUGGUUGUGUUAUAUUUGCUAUGCUUUCAGAACAUCAAAAGAACUCAAAGGUGGUUUCUCCUAUCAAACCUGAAGAGCGAAAAUCGUCGUCACUUAUUGAAGUGUCUGCAUUAUCAUUGGAAGAACUGAAAGAAAAGAUAGACAAUUUCGGAUCAAAUGCUUUAAUUGGGGAGGGUUCCUACGGAAGAGUUUAUUAUUCAAACUUGAAUGAUGGAAAAACUAUGGCUGUUAAAAAGCUUGAUGUUUCCACUGAGCCCAAUACUCUUUUGUCUUAGAUUUGUUUAUAUUCUGAUAUGUAAUUUGGGGUCUUUUACAGGAAGCUGAAGAGUGUUGGACACAAAUUUUAUACACACUUUCUCAGUCUCUUCGAUCAGCUGGUUCUAGGUAGGUUUCUUGUUCUUUGUCAUUUAGAUAUACUGAGUUAUACUUACUGGCAAAAUUUGAGCAAGUCCAUGGUGCCUUUAACAACUGAAACAACUGAAACAGUUUGAAGCUGUUGCUUUUGGUUUAUCAAACUUUUUCUUCAAAAUUAGGGAUCUCUUAUUUGGAGCAGUGUUACCUUGCAUAGUUCUUUUGCCACUGCAAUGCUUCUUUAGCAUAUAUCUUUCUAAUUUAGCAGCAAACAUCUCUUUUAGAAAAAAAUUCUAAUCUCUCGCUGUCUUUUUUUUUUCUUUCUACAGUGAAAAUAUAGAUACUGUAAAGGACCUUAUUGGUGUUGACCUUGCAAGCAGGUAGAUACCUACAGAUUUAGUAGUCUUUUUUUAUUUUUUUAAUAAUGAUGACAUUACCUAGUUAGACAAUUUAUAUAUGCUGAUGCCAUUUUCUAUAACUGUUGAAGAAUUGUUGCUGCUAUUCAAAUUUUCAAAUACCACUAGUGCCGUUCAUGUAAGAAAUACAUGUAAAAGUAUAUCAUCUAUGUACAGGUUUGAUUGUGGCAUGUUUAUGUUAAAAUAUAUCGACUUCUAUAGCAGAGGCUUAAGUCUUUGUUUUGAGCAGGUAAGUCCAUGGAACAAUUUUUCAUCCUAGUAGUUCAUGUUUUAUUUUGAUUUUUCUGUGAUUAAACUCUAGUACUCAGGGCAGUAGUUGUUGGGAUGUAAAAUCUGUUGUUCAUCUGCCUAAAUAUAUGACAAAAGGCAGAAGUACGUAUUGGAGAUAUUCUCACACGCACAUUCAUUCGUUUGAAACCCGAUAUCUGGUUAUUUGUCUUUGAACUGAAUUGGAUUUUUCCAUGAUUAUGUAGGAACACAUGCCCUAUUUUCAUUUAAGGACCACCAAGGAAAUUUUGAAACUGAAAGCUGAUUGAUCGAAUGUGUAUGCCGGCUUUCAUCAACUACUUUCGAAGGCCUUACUUGGUGUGCAAAGAGAUUGCUUCUUCUGAUUUGAUUUAUCAAUAUAAAUACUGGACAAAGUAUGGAUAUUUCUUGUCAGUUGCAUUUACUGCUGUUAGUAAAAUAGGAUUCUCUUCUUAGGAUCUUAGUUUCUUCACUUGUAUUAGACUCAACAAUGGCUUGCAUUGCAUUGCAUUGGUGUUGAUUUUACAAUUUUUAAUUUUUAUUAAUUAUUUACGUUUUCUCACUUUUAUUAAUUUUUAUUAUUAUUUAAGUUUCCUUUAUUUGCCUUCUUUUAUCAUUUUCAUAGAAAAUUUAAUUUAAAUAAUAUAUUUUUAUUUAUCCUUAAAAGUAUAUUUAAAGUUCAAAUUUAAAAAAUAAAACAUAAUACAAUAUUUAUCAUAAAAAUAAAUAUUAUUUGAUUAAAAUAUUUUUUUUAAAUAUUACGUUUUUUGUGGCGUUUUUGCGAGAAGCGUCACUAAAGGUCAUGUUCUUUAGCGGCGUUUAUGAGAAAAGCAUUGCUAAAGGUCAUGUUCUUUAGCGGCAUUUGUGACAAAAGCGCCGCUAAAAGUCAUGUUCUUUAGUGGCGUUUGUGACAAAAGCGCCGCUAAAAGUCAUGUUCUUUAGCGGCGUUUGUGAUAAAAGCGCCACUAAAGGUCAUGGCCUUUAGCGGCGUUUUUUCACAUAAACGCCGCUAAACUUAGCGGCGUUGACAAUAGCGGCGCUUGUGAAAGCACCGCUAAGAGUCUAUUUUGCUGUAGUGUUAGAUGGAUAUUGCCUGUAGUAGUUGGAAGUAACGUGCCGUAGGCAAUAUUGAUAGAGUGUGCACUGCCAUAAGCUUCCUUGUCGAUCAAAUGCAGCUAGUAUACCGGUGCCCCAAUCUAAAAUAACGCAGAUAUCAGGUUGGGGGCACACAUGCCUCCUUAACCUAGAUAGAAAGAAAUCCCAAACAUCAGAUGACUCCCCCGGUGUUAUUACAAACACAAUUGGAAGAAUUCUCCCACCGCCAUCCUGUGCCACUCCAAGCAAUAGCCGAUAAGUAUACCUACCAAACAUAAAGGUACCCUCAAUUUGUACCAAUGGCUUGCAGUAUGGAAAUGCGUCUCGGCAUUGCUUAAAGGUCCAAAACAGGCGUUUGAACACUUGGCACCCACGUAGCAAUCGGUCGUUGUAGUACACAUGUUCUGUUUCAAGCUCUGUGAUGCAACCUAGGACGUAUCUCUCUAGCACUUAACACCACUGCCAUAUUUCAUUAUAUGAAGCGUCCCACCCACUAUGCAUCUUCUCCAACGCCUUCUGCUUAGCUAUCCAAGCCUUGCGGUAAGAGGGCGUGUACCCCAUUUGGCUACGAAUAUUGGCAAUUAAGACCAGCAUUGAAGUCUUAGGAUCUGCCUUCAUAGUGGGUAGCAUCAAGCUAGCUAACAUAGCUGAAUCCAUCUUGGGAUGAUCUUGGGAAACACCUAUAAAUGGAGUACAUUAAAUAAUACAACAUUACGUAAUAACAGUAUUAUUCAGAAACCGUCAAUACUGUACCUACAGCAAAUGUAUGUGGACCUUUGUACUUUUUUAUCUCCCACAACCCUGUCCUUUUCCUCAACGAGGCGUAUAUUUUCCAUGAACAUGUGCCGUCUUGCAUGGCACACUUUGCCUCAAACUUAUCAGAUUUGGAUUUAACCAUGUGGUAGUUAACGCUGUUAUUGAUGCUAUGUUGUUUCAAAGCACCAAUAAAACUAUCCUUGUUGGAAAACUGAUUACCAACUUCAAAUUCACCCGAAUCCAACCCCGAACUUGUACAAUCACGCAACCGGUGUGGUAGAUCUAGAAACUCCAAUGCAUCAUCUGCAGACAGAUCGACAUUAUGCAUGUGGCUGGAGGUGAGUAUUCUCUGAAUCGUGGAUUUUCUUCUUCAUCUAAACUCCUUUCAGCAUCUUCAGGUUCUGUUGGAAUAGGCUCCAGUUUAGAAAAUAAGCCAACUUCUACACCAUCGGGCCCGGGCUCUCGAGGUGGAUCCACAUCAGAGUCAUCUUCUAACCCACCAUCAUCUGCAACUUACGAGGUCCCCUCACCGGUGGACGUCGUAGGGAGUACAUCAUCCCUUCUUCUGGGCAUUUCAUAACGUCUCCAAUUGGAUGUAGAUUGCUAACCACUAGAACUUGAUCUCAUUGCCCAGUACGUAUUUCCAGCAUCAAACAUCGAGCCACCAAUAUACAUGUCCCAUCCACCGACAAAGUGUCUUGCAGGGGAUGUGCAUUCCACACCGCUACUAAACAUGGUCUGUUCCGUGUUUUGUAACCCGCUAACCGAGUGUCGGCCAGGGGUCGUGUAUUCCUCUCGAACACCAGUCACAAGUACAUCAUUUGGCGAUGUAAAUUGUACAUAUAACUCAAUAUAAGGUGCUCCACUAGCAAGAUGAGUCUACACCAUUACCUCCAAGCUACGAGCACCUUUUACGUCGAACGAGUCAUAUGUCACUGGAUCAACAGAAUAACAAAAUCGAUACGUAAUAAACAGAACUUUCAUUGGCGUCGUUUCGAAAAUUUUACGCCUGAUUCUUUUUCGAAGUUUUGUCAAAUCUAUGUUCUGGUUAAAAACCAGUCGCAUUGUAUUCUUCGAUAAAAAACAACACCGUUCUCGGUGUGGCAAACCUCAUCAUCAUAGUAAAUAACAGCACUAAUACGUUCACUCAUCUUUAAUUUCUAACCUUCUUAGCCUCUCUAAAUUGUUUUUGCUGUAACUUAUGCAAUCUGAGAACAUUUUUUGCCUCAUUUAUAGCCUCAGCCCAAACAUGCUAUUAUAGCAAAAACGCGUCCACGUGGGAGCGAUUUUAGAAAUUCUUCUGAUAAAGCAUCCUACUUGAAGCGUUUUUAUACUAUUUGCUCAGAAACGUCAACUCGAAAUUAUUUUUCAGGACCUACUGUAGCAAAAGCGCGUCCACGUGGGAGCGAUUUCAAAAAUUCUUCUGAUAAAACAUCCUGCUUCAACCGUUUUUUAUACUAUUUGCUCAGAAACGUCAACUCAUAAUUAUUUUUUCAGUACCUACUGUAGCAAAAGCGCGUCCACGUGGGAGCGCUUACAUGGCAACAAAACGCGCCCUUGAGGGAGCGAUUUCCGUCCAUAUAAGCAAAGCGCGCUCUCAGGGACGCGAUUUUCUGCCACGUCCCCUGACAUCGUGCUGAUGUGGACGUGCUUUCGGGGAAAAUGGUCAUUCCGGUAAAUAAUAAAAUACCGGGCCCAUUUCGGUAAUUUUUUUUUUUUAAAAAAAAGCUUUUAAUGGUGUUUUGCCCCAUUUCAUGACUUUUUUUUGUGACAUUUUUAAACCGUCAUGAGUUUUUGCCUCAUUUUUUUCGUGGCAUUUUUAUGCAUCACAAAAUAACUAAUGUUUCCAUGACGUUUUUUUAUUGAUCAACGUGACGCUUCAAAACAUCAUAAAAAGUAAAAUUCUCGUUUCCCUUACGGUAAAUGCUUAACGCUUUUUUACGAACUGAUUUUUUUGACGUUUUGGUUUUGUUUUCGUGACAUUCUAAAGCGUCGUGAAAACACAUUGUUUAUGUAGUGAACACUCUGAAUUAGUCAAGUGGGUGAAAUGAUAGCUAUUAUAGUUGUUAACUGAGAUAUAUCAAAAUUCAAGGUUCUCUUCAUUGUUUGUUUUUCAAUUAUUUUCUUUCUUUAUUUUCUCGAACUUUAAAUUCAAAAACUAGAGGGACAGAAUUCUGAAAGUUAAAUUCUAAAUAUACCAUAGAGUACAAAGAUUUUUGAAGUUUGAAACCAUGCUAACUAAAGGACAGAUUAGACAACAUGUAGGAUUGAUAUUUUAUUCCUACACAGUGAAAUAAGAAAACUCGACCAACAAAAAAAAAAAAAGAGAACUUAAACUAACAAAAUUAUAAUAUUGCCAAUGUUAUAAAUUAGUUUAUAAACUUUUUUUUAAAUUCCAGAUUUGCCUUUAAUAUUUAACAUUUUGAUUAAUGAAAUAAGUGCGGAUUAAAUUAUAAAAUUUUAUUCUAGACUGGAUCAGCUUUGCAUAUCAGAGCACAAAUAUUCAUGCCCAGGCCCAAACCAGAAAAUAUAGCAUUUUGCCUCGUCAGCAGAGUACUACCUGACGUGGCACCUUAUUUCUACCAUGCAAUCGUUGGAACGAAUAUGUAUUUAUUUUUGGUUAAAUCUAUUGACAGGUCCCUGUACUAAAGUCUUACGAUUAAAUUAGUUCCUAGAAGUGAGCAAAUGUUGCAAGAACUCGACAGAUGGUCAAAAAUACAAAAACAAAAAAAUCAUAAAAAUCAAUUUAUAAAUUAUAACAACGAAUUAAAUGUUUAAAGUAACUUAAAUUUAGUUCAAAUGGCUUUUUUUUACUAAUUUUUUAUUAGUACACUCUUUUUCCAGUUUUACAAUACUGAUUCUACAAAUUAGACUACUAGUUUUGGUUUAACAACCAUGGAAGUGAGUAAUUUAACUCUAAUGACGAAGUCAAAAAUCUUGUGUCGAAGGUCAAGAUGAAACUAUGAAAUUUGUGGGGCUAAUUAAAGCUAAAAAUGUGUAAAGGCUUAAAUGAAACUAUUAAUUUUUAAGAAGAGUCAAAUAUAUAAUUUUCUUAUUUAAUUAAGGAGCUGAAUUACUUAAAAUAAAUUAUUAAUAUUGGGGAGAAGCUAAAAGCGUAAUUCACUCAUUUUUAGGUGUAAACUCAUGGUGUUCUAGAGGUACUCAUGGGCCCGGGCCGGGCCCAAAAAAAUUUCCAGCUCGCUUCUUAGGCCCCGGCCCAGCCCAAAAUAUGGGCCUGAGAUUUUGCCCAAGCCCAGCCCGGGAAAAAAUACGAAGCCCGAGCCCGAGCCUGGCCCAGCCCAGCCCGUUUUUGGUUAAUAACAUUAUAAAAAUAGUAUAUUUAUAACAGUAUACUAAAACAGUAUAUUAAAACAAUAUAUUUAUAACAGUACAUUAAAAUAGUAUAUUACAAAUUUUAUAACAGUAUAUUAAAACAGUAUAUUACAUUAAAAAUUAAUGUUUUAAUCAAAAAAUUAACAAUAUUAAUUAUUUAGUUAAUAACAUUAUAAAAAUAUAAGCACUAAUUUAUGUUAAAAAAUAAAGUAUAGAAACUAAAAUUUAAUCAUUUUGGUAAAAGGAUAUAAAGAUUAAAGUUUAGUUGUAAGCAAGAUAGAGGGAUAAAAUGAUAUUCGACCAUUUUCAUAUAAAAAUAAAUACAUAUUACAUAAUAGUAUAAUAUCGAAUUCAUAUAUUGCACGAGAUAAUAAACUAGUUAUUUAACUAUGCUAGCCUUGUGAUACAAGAUCAAACUUGUCACAUGUCUUUAAGUAAUACUAAAAAAACACACAUCAUUUAGGAAAAGUCGCAAAGGUUGAUUGUUUCAAAGGAAAGGGUGUGAGAUGGUGAUAGCAACCUGACGGGGCCUACUAUUUUUUCUGCCUCACUAAAUAGCUUGUUUAUGCAAUAAAACAAAGCAAACACAAAAAAAAAAGAGAUUAAAUGAAGAAACUAAGCUUGUGAUCUCAACCCUACAAAUUCAAUGCUCUAUAAAACAUAAAUCAAUUCUCAACACUGCAAAUUACAUGCUCUAUAAAACAUAAACACAAAUAAAUGUUGUGUGGGUCUGAAUCUGUUAUUGGAGCAUUUAUUACAUUCAACUUGGAAGUUAAGGUCAAGAGAAACUGGUGUUUUUUCUCAUACUUGACAAAAUUAAACUGUAUUAUAAUUUUUUGUUAUGUCAUCAGUCCAAUCUUUUAAGCUUUAAACAACAUAGAAGAAGGUCAUAAUCAUAAUUUGACCUAAAACCAUUUUUGUUUAAUAUAAUAAUUUGGUAUUUGAUUUAAUAAAAAGAUUUUUUUAAUUAAAAUUGAUUCAAAUAAUUAUGUUUUUUAUCCAAACCAAAACUUAAUUCAAUGACAAUGAAAUAUACUAUUUAUAUUGGUAAUUUAAUGGUAUAGUUUUUACUUUUUAAGUAAAUAAAAAUGUUGCAAAGAAUAAAAAUGUUGCAAAGAAUACUAUACUAGUAGAAGGCGUAGGUUAUGACUUGAUCCAAUAGAGUCAGAACACCUUUUUAUCUAAAAGGAAUGGUGCUCGAUAAAACGAUCCAGAUUCCACACUAUGCUGUGGGCUGGGAAGGGAGUUGCUCUGCGAAACUGGGCAUUCAGUGUUCUUAUGGGGGAACCAUACUAGAAAGAGAAUAGAAAGAGCCUUCAAAAAAGAUCUACCAUCAUUGUCCAAAAUUUUAGGUUCAUUUGCAAACUGAUACAAGGUGGCAUAUGUUGAGUAACCAUAUGAUUAAGUGAGGAAAACAGAAUAAACAUAAAAAAAGAAAUUAAGUGAGGAAAACUCAUUUGACUAAACUAUUUUAAUUUGUUUCAUUUGUAUAGCUAAGGGAGCCAUCAGACAUUACAUUUCAUUCUUAGUUAAAACUUGAAACAAAGGACUUACCAACAAACACCCAUUUGUAAGUAAAACAUAAACUUGAAAGAGCAGUCACACUAAGACAUAUCAGCCGUUAUUGUAUACAAAAUGCAAUAGACUCCAAAAUUACCACUGUUAAGACCUAAGCAGUCCAAAACACUGAAUCUACAUUUUCUGUUUCAAUAUUUCUUUACAUUGUAUGUAGAAAAACUCUAUUCCAUUUUUUGGUUCCAACAUCUUGGGACAACAAUUUGGACAUCUGUUUAGGACAAUAUAAGUGUAGUAAAUUUGUUGGUAUUUUUUACUUAAUUCCUCUUGGGUUAGUUUUGUAUCAGCAAAUGAUUCUUGGUUAAAGUAGUAAUUCUUUUUACUUGGUUGAUGGAUUUGCAUGGGACGAUAGUGGCAAGGGAAGAACGGUUACAAAGAGUAGAGUUCAUGGUGCUGCUUUUAUAUAUAUAUAUAUAUAUAUAUAUAUAUAUAUAUAUAUUAUAAUUUUGUAUUUUUUGAGUAAUUUUUUAAUAAUUUUAUAAAUUUUCCAUUCGACAUUAAAAACUGGGCAUUCAGUUUUCUUAUCAAUUUGUAAACACAAUCAAAAUUCCCCCUGAUAUGUAAAUACAAUCAAAAUCCCCCCGAAGAUUCAGUGUCUCAAAAUUAAAAUAAGAAAACUGUUAACAGUAAAAUUCAAAAUCACAAUCAAAAUCAAAAAGCAAAAAGCAAGAAACUACUUCAAAUUGGGUUAACAGGAAAUAGGGUUAACAGCAAACUCACCUUUGAACUUCAAAUGUAGAAGACGUAGAAGGCUAGAAGCACCCGCACCAUUAGAGCGGAGGUGGAGUCGUGGAGGAUCAGACACUGGAGGUGGAAUGGUGGAUCGGUGGAGGUGGGUUUUCGAUUUGGGGGGAAAAAGAGAGGAGGGUUAGGGAAAUGAGAAAUGGGAAAUGGGGAGGGGAAAUGGGAAAUGUAAAUAAUGU